rnacentral:lncRNA from 1 species
AUAGCCAUCUAGUUCUGUGGCCUACCAGUUCUCAUCCUUUGAAUUCUUAGGUUAGACGAGAAGAUACAUGAGAUCUCUAAAUCUUCAGGUUUAAACGUAGAUGUCUUUCACUACACCAGAGUAAAUAGCUUAUUCAAUAUUCAUUUUAUGAUCGUUAUUGGACUUCGGCUUCCUACUGCCUUUCAAAUAGGCCAUCGCAAGAUUUUGUCCAGUAGUAACGGACACAGACUUCUUGUUGGUUGGAAAAGAAAAGAAAUCACACUGAAAAAUACAGCACUGAAGCUCAAAAAUAAAAACAUGUUAUCCAGACGCCAAAGAGAGAAGAGACACAGCAUGGGUGAAUAUAUGAAAGCAAAAGAUGACCCUAUCAUAUUAGUAUGCUAAUGAACCAGCAUUCAUCCUUUAAUGUUCGUGCCCGUCUCCUUAGUGCUUGAUAGAAAGGAUGCACUUCUUAUGUUAGCAAUGCUUGUGGAGCCUUUGUGGUCAUUCUCAGACAUGCACAGAGUGGGGAAAAACAUUGAGUCACCUGGAAUCCACGUUCAGCUGAGGUUGAACCAGCAAUCCUGGAAUCAGGGCACUACGGGUAACCACAUUCUCACUUUACAAAUGAUAACUCACACACCCCAUGGAAGAUCCGGGAAGUCUUCUGAUGCCCCUGCUUUCCAAGACAAUAUGAUGCUUCUCUACAUUCCAUGGACUAUGACAAGUAUAUCAGUCGUCGAAGUGGGUGGUUUAAUGGCAUGAUUAGCUCCAUUUUCUCUUCCUGCAGCAUAGCAAAGUGCAUAAAGCUUGAGCUCUGUGUCCAGCAGAUCUUUAUUAGAAUUCCAGUCCCCCCACAGUUACAUAUGCUCUCUCCCUGACAGUUUUCACAGAUGAAUCAUCCAGACUCCAUUUCCUAUUAGAGCUGGACCCUCCACUUGGACUUUUGACACUUAGACCCCUCUAGCCCACACAGGGACAUCAGUGCAAUAAUUCUCCCCUUUCUACAGCAUCAUUAAAUUUUGCCUCUCUCCUGGAUCAUCCCAUUCACAUAUUCAUAUGCUGUUAUUUCUCCCAUCUAAAACUGACCAGGCACUGUGGCUCAUGUCUAUAAUCCUAGCACUUUGGGAGGCCAAGGCUGGCAGAUCACUUGAGGCUAGGAGUUUGAGACCAGCCUGGCCAACAUGACAAAACCCCAUCUCUACUAAAAAUACAAAAAUUAGCAGGGUGUGCUGCACUCCAGCUUGGGCGACAGAGCAAGACACUGUCUCAAAAUAAAUAAAUAAUUAAUUAAAAAUAAAA